UCCGUCUCCGCUUCCUUGUUUUACAUUCCACCGGCGUAUGUAUACCUUCCUUGUAUCUUCUUCUUUACAAUAUAUUUUCAUGAUUUGUAUUUCUUUUAUAGUCACUCUUCUCCUUUCUCUCCGUUUCCUGCUUGUUUUUCCUCCUCUUCCCCCUCCUCCUUCUUCACCACCUUUAAAUAAAUCCCACCAUCUUCCCGUGCCCUUGUCUUCCCUUACCCUCCUUUCUCCCUUUCUCCUCCUCCUCGUGCUCAUCCUCGUCUUUCCUUCUACAGGUGCGGCCGUUGAGGGAAGGCAGGAAGGAAAGCAAGACGGCUAAAUAUACCGAACACUGAUUGCGUCGACAAAGCCAAACAUUUUGAGAAGCUUGUAUCAUCCUGUGGUUCUACUCAGCUACAGUUCUGCUGGGGUAAACGAACCGUAUCAAAGUCCGUGACGCUCCAAUGGAUUCCAGUGCUACACGAGGCGGCUGCAUAAACGGCUCGUCAACUGGGUCAGCAGCGGAGCACAAAGAACCGUGUCAUCACUGCAUCUCCAUCACAAUGGGCCUCGGUCAUCACCGGGCGCCACACAGAUCGAUCCGUCCUCCACUGCUCGUUUCCGAUUCACGCAAAUGACGGCGGGGCUGAAAUAAAAAUCCUGUCUCUCAUGGUAUUCUUAUAUUCAAAGACUAAAAAGUUAAGUUGUCUUCAGUUUCUAUAAUUUUAGCAAAAAGUCAUAAACACACGGCAUGUUCAGGUAAUUUGCAGGAAUUCUUCCCUAGUCCACACAAGCACUUUCCGAUCACACCGGCCGCUCUUACCUGACCUCUGACCUCACUGAGAAGGUCAAUGAACUAAAUGAAUGACAUUUUAUUUGCAUGUAUGGUCAGGAUUCCUAAAGGGCUUUUCAAUUACUAGCACACUGAAAUGAGCGCUCCACCAUCAAAAUUGCAGGUAUGAUGCCGAAAUUUUAAUUUUCCAACAGGAACUUUGCUUCCUCCCUAAAUUAUCCCCUUUGGAAAAAUCAAUUGGGGUAGAAUCUAUAGUCCGGAUUCUGAUCAGCCUGCCAAAUUUCAUCUGAUUUGAAUUUACAGUUCCGGCUGCCCAUUACACACACACACACACACACACACACACACACACACACACACACACACACACACACACACAUUUGAAUUUUCCAGCAGUGAGUUAGAUUGUUGUAGUUCAAAGUUUUUUUCAGUUAUCAUUCCAUGAGUACCGGUCACUGACACCAAGAAAGUUAAGAAAUGUUUGGUUUUUACGUAAUUGUUACCUCUUAGGGAUGUAAUUAUGUAGCAUGUGUUUAUUACUCUUACAGGUCACGCACUUUCCACGCCGUUGCCUGUUAAUUCGGUACACACUUAUGAACGUCAGAGCAGAAGUGAGCAGCAGCUGUUCACCAGAAUUGAAAUAUUGCGUUUUCAUGCGACUGAAGGGAAGCUAAAGAGUGAACGAAAACAAAUGCAAAGCGUAAGGUAAUUUACAGUUGAUCACAUGUAUAAAGAUUGCGAGUUAAAAAUCAAUAGUGACAGUAACAUUUUUUCACGCAUCGGAAAGAAAGAGAGAUAAAGACUGUUGCGAAGUUUGCUGACACAUUACCUUUGCACCAUUUGUUAUAAAGGUGAAGCAAUUAUCCUUUUUAUCUCGAAUACUAGACAGAACUGACUUACCAUCUUCAUUUAUGUUCUUUUACAUCAUCUGCUUUCAUAACUUUAUUUGAUUUUACUUGUGGCCCUUUACUAGACUACUUCCCAUAAAAAAGAAUGAGGAUAUUGUAAUGCAGGACUUCUUAGAGAGGUUGGAAGUGGCAUAAAGAUAACUGAAGUGACAGUAACCUUGAGAGUAUUGAUAAAGAGCAAAAAGUGAUGGAAUAUUGUAGCAGAGAGAGAGAGAGAGAGAGAGAGAGAGAGAGAGAGAGAGAGAGAGAGAGAGAGAGAGAGAGUAAUAAAGACGUAAUUGCGCAAAUCUUAUAAUGCAAGAUAAUGCAAUUAUAACUCAAUGAAAUGUCAUCUCAGUCAUUUUUUUGCAUGAGGCAGAUGUUCAUUGGAGAAGGAGGAAGAGGAAGAAGAGGAGGAGGAGGAGGAGAAGGAGGAAUCCCAUAACAAGAAUCAAAGACAGAAUAUUUUUAACGCAUAAUAAUCACCAUAAAGUAUGUGUGGUUUGCUUGGUUCUAAACCUAACAUCCAUCUCUCUCUCUCUCUCUCUCUCUCUCUCUCUCUCUCUCUCUCUCUCUCUCUCUCUCUCUCUCUCUCUCUCUCUUUCUACUUAAAUGGCUGAAUGGACUUGUACUUGGCUUGAAUGUAACACAGUAGAGUCGUUUACAUAAUUAAACUCAAUAAUGGUACACUUGACCGUAACAUCUCCGAGGCAGGCAACCGUAGCGCCACAGCAAGGAAACAGUGUAGCAUAUUUACAUUUUUUUUUUCAUUCUCGUGUGUAUAUAUUAAUGUAAGGACAAGCUCACCUGUUUAGAAUUGCUAGGUAUGUUUUGCUUUUUAACA